AUGUAUGUCUGUGAUGCUCUCCAGCCCGAUCUGAGCGGUACAGUCACCUGGGCUCAGAUGAUGAUGACGAGACCUGUGAUGAAGACACGUCACUGGAGCUCAAGCAGUUCUCCUCUGUGGCACAUCGCUUUAGCAAGGUGUACAGCAGCACGGAGCACCUGUCCACCUCCACGCCAUCCAAUCAUAGCCUGUCGUCAUCAGAGCGCAGCCACAGUGAGGAGAAGGUGGGGAGAUGGGAGGGGAGGAGUUUCCUAUCCCCAGAAGAGGGACACAAACAAGGGGCCAGCGGGGACCGGAGGACUGAGGGACACCGAGGAAGGUGAGCGAUGAAGGCCCUUGGUACAAUAACACAGCACUCAGAAUACACUGUUUUGUGAGCUUAGUCUAGCUUUAGCUGGAACAGCGGCAAAAUUCACUAAACAGCGUUAUUUGCCUUUUUCUAUGGUUAUAAGGGAGAUAUCGUAUUCAACUCCAAAUAACUAUUGAAAACAUGCACAUUUUAAAGUUAAAUAUGAAUUGGUGGGCAGCAGGUUUUAUUCUUCCAUCAAUUUUAGCAUAACCAGAUCGCAACUGCCCCCUCUCUAAGUGUAUCCUUCCAUUCAGUCCCCCUCCCCUCAUGUGCUCUAGCCUGCGUCCCAGGGCCUCCUCCGGUUCGUCCCAGUCAGAGAGGAGUGCCAGUCCGCUGGUUAUGAACAGCACCCAGAGCCUGGACACCAUGCCACGCUUCGCCAUCUCAACUGAGGAAGAGGGUGAGUUGAGACUACACACAUGUGUUUAGGGCUACACACGCAUACUUAGAGACCUAGACACACUGUCAUAAAGUAAACAUACACACAGGAUAUUUUUACUGUGCUUACAUUUCUAAAAGACAAGAUUGCACACUCCAGCCAGCACAUUGACUUAACCCCCCCCUCUUUCUCUCUCAGAUGGCGUAGUGUCCAACUUGCGGCGUAUCCGUCUUCGUAGUAACAGCACAGGUACGCGGCCCUCCUACAGGCGCGGGGGCUCCCGCCGCUUUGGGCACCAGCUGGACACCCCCGAGAAGCCUAGGGCACCAGCGGGCUGCAUGGUCCCCAAGUCUGCCUCAGUCUCUGGCCUGUCCCUCAUCAUCACCCCAGGUUGGUAAACCAACUGGAGCUAGCUAUCGUGUACUAGCCCACUGACACCAUUAAGAGAGUGUCUGGUCUCAAAUGGUACCUUAUUCCUGGUGCAUGUGUUGCUUCAUAGAAUUCUAUUUCUGUCAAUUGCUUUUGUCCAGAGCUAUGACUAAAAGUAGCAUUUUUACAUGGGCCAUUCAUUUGAGAUGUUGCAACUGUCUCUAGGUUAGCAUAAUGCUAGCAACAACAACACACCUAGUAUUGUACUGUAUAUGUGCCCUGCAAGCCUGUGUGAUUUGAUAUGCUUGUUCUGGCUUCAUAAACAGACUAUAUAUACUUUGCUAAAUUCCCCAAGAAAUUCCUCAGUCCUAGCAUACUUCUCCAUACCCCCCAGACACUGCGGACGGUGCCCCCGCCAGCCCCAAGUCAUCCCUGUCCUCCAACCCCUCGUCCCGGGACUCGUCCCCCAGCCGAGGGGACCUGUCCCUCAGUAGCCUGCGCCCCCCCGUGGUCAUCCACAGUUCUGGGAAGAGGUUCGGCUUCGCCCUGCGAGCCAUUCGUGUCUACAUGGGUGACUCCGACGUCUACACUGUGCACCACAUGGUCUGGGUAAGUGUCCCUUCCACAGAAUGAAAUAGAACACUAGAAUGGUCUUUGGCACCCCGGCAACUUAACUACAGGACAGCCAUCUUGGUCAGGGAAAUCGGGCUAUUCAAUCUUAGUCUUACAGUUUCUACUUAAGCCAACAUGUUAUUUUGUCUUGUUGUACAUUUAGUUGCGUAUUUCAAGGCUGCGUUGAAACAAUGACUUUUCAAUGAUCCAAGACCACUCACUUAAUCCCUACCAUUGUGACAAUGAGUCGCCAGUAUUGAGGCGGCAGGGUAGCCUCUAGUGGUUAGUGUUGGACUUGUAACCGAAAGGUUGCAAGUUCAAAUCCCUGAGCUGACAAGGUACAAAUCUGUCUUUCUGUCCCUGAACAGGCAGUUAACCCACUGUUCCUAGG
rnacentral:lncRNA from 1 species